rnacentral:miRNA from 1 species
GACGUCGAUAUUCGACGUCAUAAACACGAUCAACUUUGGUGUUUAUGACGUCGAUAUACGACGUCAUAAACACGGUCAACUUUGGUGUUUAUGACGUCAAUAUUCGACGUCAUAAACACGAUCAACUUUGGUGUUUAUGACGUCGAUAUUCGACGACAUAAACACGAUCAACUUUGGUGUUUAUGACGUCGAUAUACGACGUCAUAAACACGGUCAACUUUGGUGUUUAUGACGUCGAUAUACGACGUCAUAAACACGAUCAACUUUGGUGUUUAUGACGUCGAUAUUCGACGUC